rnacentral:rRNA from 1 species
CCUACGGGAGGCAGCAGUGGGGAAUAUUGCACAAUGGGGGAAACCCUGAUGCAGCGACGCCGCGUGAGUGAAGAAGUAUUUCGGUAUGUAAAGCUCUAUCAGCAGGGAAGAAAAUGACGGUACCUGACUAAGAAGCCCCGGCUAACUACGUGCCAGCAGCCGCGGUAAUACGUAGGGGGCAAGCGUUAUCCGGAUUUACUGGGUGUAAAGGGAGCGUAGACGGUGGUGCAAGUCAGAAGUGAAAGCCCAGGGCUCAACUCCGGGACUGCUUUGGAAACUGUGUGACUGGAGUGCAGGAGAGGUAAGCGGAAGUCCUGGUGUAGCGGUGAAAGGCGUAGAUAUUAGGAGGAACACCAGUGGCGAAGGCGGCUUACUGGACUGUAACUGACGUUGAGGCUCGAAAGCGUGGGGAGCAAACAGGAUUAGAUACCCCGGUAGUC